rnacentral:lncRNA from 1 species
GCCGCCCGGAGCAGGCCGGCUGCCAGGAGCCGGAGCUGGCAGGGCAGGGUGGGGAAGAAGGAAAGGGAGCCCCGCUCCUCCUCCCCUCGGGGAGAGAGCUGUGGCUCUCGGCGGGAGGCUUGUGAGUACACACAGACUCUCUGGAGCCUCCCAUGUAAAUCCUGGCAGGACGCAGCCAGCUCUGAGCUCAUUCACGUCCCUCUUACAGCAGCACCGUGCCCGUGUGGGCACAGACGGCGUUCCCCAAGCUCUGCAGACAGCUGGCAGGAACCUGCUGUCACACCGGGGUCCUGCUCUGGUCCUGCCCAUGGCCCGUGGGACACUGGGGAAUGGCAGGUCAUUAAGAGAGAUGUUAAGGAAUGACCUCGGCAGUGUCCCCUUGGAUAUUCCUGCCGCCUCCAGCAAGCUCUGUGCCAGGCACAGCCAAAGUCAUGGAUUUGCAGGAGAUGGGGGAUGAUGUGUCCUGUCCCUGAGAGCGGCAGUGCCAGGAGGGAAUUCAGCCUCUCUCACCCAUUUCUGUGGCCUCCUUCACUGAAGCCAGUAUUCCUCCCUUCCCAGAGGUCUGGAGGAAAGGGAGCUGAUCCAGUGAGGAUGUUUAGGAUUAAACCUCUACUCCAGUUCCAUUAAAGCUCACGAUUAAAGCUCUGGACUCCAGACAAUGCUUCUCUGACUUCCCAGCGCCGACAGUUGCUCCCCCAGCUCCCACUUUCCAUCUCCAGCCCAACCCCUUUUCAGCCACCUUUGAAUUUUCCCCCUUCUUACAGGGUUUUAUUAUUUUUCUUUAAUUUUUUUUUUAAACCCCAAAUCCAUGAGUGGCCACUUCUGCAAGCGAUAAAAAUCUUAUUCCCUGCCUUUGGAUUUUUUUUUUUCCAGGCAAUUGUAGCUUGCAACACCUUAAUUAUCGCGGCUCUGAAAACCGGUUAAAGAUUUUAAUACUUCCUUCCCCAGCCUAUUAUGCAGAGACUUCU